rnacentral:rRNA from 1 species
UGCCAGCCGCCGCGGUAAUACGGAGGAUCCAAGCGUUAUCCGGAAUCAUUGGGUUUAAAGGGUCCGUAGGCGGUCUGAUAAGUCAGAGGUGAAAUCCUGCAGCUCAACUGUAGCAUUGCCUUUGAUACUGUUAGACUUGAGUUAUUGUGAAGUAGUUAGAAUGUGUGGUGUAGCGGUGAAAUGCAUAGAUAUCACACAGAAUACCGAUUGCGAAGGCAGAUUACUAACAAUAUACUGACGCUGAGGGACGAAAGCGUGGGUAGCGAACAGGAUUAGAUA